UAGCUCCCUCGCCCACUUAGCCAGCCAGUCCCCCUCCCACCCAUCCAUCCCUCUUCGGGCGCGGGCUGGGAAGAGGGGGCUCUGGACCGGUGGGGAAGGGGAGCUGCUGAGAUGCUGCGCCUGGGCGAGGAGGCUCCAAAGAGCACAUCGGCUUUGCGGAAAAGCAGCAAAGCGCACGCGACGCCUUGCAGAGGGUAGGUAACGGGACCAGCCUGCGGCCACCGAUCGCUUCCUUCUUUUCCCCUUUUUUUCCUUCCUUUCUCCCCCGUUUCUUUUGCACGGCUGGCUGAGUGGGUGUCUGCAGCCGUGCAGCAGCCAUUGCAGGGCUG
rnacentral:lncRNA from 1 species